rnacentral:rRNA from 3 species
GGUUAAGCGACUAAGCGUACACGGUGGAUGCCCUGGCAGUCAGAGGCGAUGAAGGACGUGCUAAUCUGCGAUAAGCGCC